CAAAAAAGAGCUGCUGUGGUACCAGAACUGACACGACUGUCGCCCUCCAGCACUAUACUAGUUCACUGCCGGAUGAUUUGUAUUCUGGCGACCCGUCUCAGCGACAUCUGUGAAAAACAAGAGCCAUCCACAACAAGCUGAGCCGAAGGAGACGUUCGUUCCUUUCUCUUGAUGUAAGAAGGAGAAAUGGAGCAGUGCUAAUGUGCGGAGCCAAAACAAAGAUCAGGUCAACGUGAGGCUCCACCUUUGGAGAGCAUAAUUCAUGGGUUGAACUGGGCCCGGAUGUUUAAUUCUCGGGCAGGAGGAACGGCAACAUCGCCGGACGCCCCUCACAUCUGCGCGCAACAUUUUUAGCUUUCAGGCUGGAUGUGUAUCAAACAGCACACACACACACACACACACACACACACACACACGCUCUCGCCAAGGGAGAGGAAAAAACACCAUCAAUCAUGAAUCUGUCAGACAAUUAUCACUCUUCCUCCGCCCUCCUUUCCUCACUCCUCCUCUUCCUCAGCUCAAACACUGACAGUAGGUCACAUGACGCCUGUCACUUCACCUCCUUGAUGUUUGUUUUUUUUUCAUCUUGUUUAGCUUUAAAAUGUUUUGAAGUUCAACCCCUCAACUCCUCGGCGUCCUCUCAAGUGAAAUCAGGAGACGACACGAUCCCAGACCGGACGGAUUCCUCAGACGACAGGGAGGAGCUCAGAAUAACAACUGGCAGAAAACGGCACCAGGAAUAGGAGUCGACGGCGACCGCAGGCGUUCGACUUAUGAAAGCAGCUGGACAAAGAACGCACUGUCAGCACAACUCUGCGCGAUGAGACCUGAAUUGACCCAGAUCGCAGGGCCACAGAGGGGUUGGAACAAGCGGACAGAAGAAGAAAUGAAGGAGACAUGACGUAUCGGGGUUCAAGACAAACACAUACGCAGCAAACAAGAUGAAAAUGGGAGGCUAAAUACAGCGUCUGAAGCCACGAGGCGUUCAACUUGACGUGUCAAAGUCCGUCCAUUCAUCGACCUAGCCGAGGGACUCUUCUGGGUUGGUGUGUACCGAGGAGUUCCCAGACCACCUGACCGACGAAGGGAUGGGACCUGUUUUGGAUCCGGGCCACACGCUGUACCGAUCAUUGCCAGAGCUGACCCAGAGAAGCAAAAUAAAGGUGAUCCAGAGUCAGCUGAUACAUUCCAGAUAGCAGCUGACUCCUCCAUCGGGAGGAUCCGGCCUGGACCUGGUGCGGAGGAUGUGAUGAAUGGACUUGCGCUGUUGAUGAAGGGGUGGAAUUCUGCCUCUCUGAUCCGGCACAAUGACUUAAGACCCGCCCCUUUUUUGACGCCGCUGCGAGUCGCUAGGCAGAAAGUUACUUCAGCAUGAAAGGUUACCACUGCAGGAGACACUAGGGAUGCAGGUCGGCGGGUAUUUUCCACAUGCUCCUAUACAAUCUCCUACACAUGAGGGAAGAAUCUCCCUUCACUUUUCUGACAGAGAACCAUGGUCUCUGACUUUCACACCUUCCAUCAGAAAAUGUAAUGUUCUAAAUGAACCGUUUUUUUCCUAGUCUUUCUUCUUCAAUCUAAAUCUAUGUAUAGAUUUAGAUUAUAAAUAAUAUAAAUAUAAAAUGACUUGACAAAUACUUGACUUUGUUCUGCACUCACAGUUCCAAUGGAUCUCAGCUGAUCGCUGUGACCGUAACAUGAAUCAGCUGUUGCGCGUCUGCUUCAGAGCGGACCACGUUACUUUAAUUCGAGCAAGGAAAAACACAAGCUCAAAUGUGCAGGGAUUGUCUUCCGGCGGAUUUUUAUUUUUCAUUAGAAAUGCAUGGUCACAAGUGAAGUUCUUCUGUGGUAAUGUAUAUAUGAUUGAUGGUAGUGGCACUGAUCCCCGAGGAUCUCUAUCACACACACACACACGCUCCAUGUGUAAAGUGGCAGCCUAGUGUCAGUUGUGUUUAUUUAUAAAGACAGUC